rnacentral:rRNA from 1 species
GACGAACGCUGGCGGCGUGCUUAACACAUGCAAGUCGAACGGAAAGGCCCUGCUUUUGUGGGGUGCUCGAGUGGCGAACAGGUGAGUAACACGUGAGCAACCUGCCCUUGACUUUGGGAUAACUUCAGGAAACUGGGGCUAAUACCGGAUAGGAGCUCCUGCUGCAUGGUGGGGGUUGGAAAGUUUCGGCGGUUGGGGAUGGACUCGCGGCUUAUCAGCUUGUUGGUGGGGUAGUGGCUUACCAAGGCUUUGACGGGUAGCCGGCCUGAGAGGGUGACCGGCCACAUUGGGACUGAGAUACGGCCCAGACUCCUACGGGAGGCAGCAGUGGGGAAUAUUGCACAAUGGGCGGAAGCCUGAUGCAGCAACGCCGCGUGCGGGAUGACGGCCUUCGGGUUGUAAACCGCUUUCGCCUGUGACGAAGCGUGAGUGACGGUAAUGGGUAAAGAAGCACCGGCUAACUACGUGCCAGCAGCCGCGGUGAUACGUAGGGUGCGAGCGUUGUCCGGAUUUAUUGGGCGUAAAGGGCUCGUAGGUGGUUGAUCGCGUCGGAAGUGUAAUCUUGGGGCUUAACCCUGAGCGUGCUUUCGAUACGGGUUGACUUGAGGAAGGUAGGGGAGAAUGGAAUUCCUGGUGGAGCGGUGGAAUGCGCAGAUAUCAGGAGGAACACCAGUGGCGAAGGCGGUUCUCUGGGCCUUUCCUGACGCUGAGGAGCGAAAGCGUGGGGAGCGAACAGGCUUAGAUACCCUGGUAGUCCACGCUGUAAACGGUGGGUACUAGGUGUGGGGUCCAUUCCACGGGUUCCGUGCCGUAGCUAACGCUUUAAGUACCCCGCCUGGGGAGUACGGCCGCAAGGCUAAAACUCAAAGGAAUUGACGGGGCCCCGCACAAGCGGCGGAGCAUGCGGAUUAAUUCGAUGCAACGCGUAGAACCUUACCUGGGUUUGACAUGGAUCGGGAGCGCUCAGAGAUGGGUGUGCCUCUUUUGGGGUCGGUUCACAGGUGGUGCAUGGCUGUCGUCAGCUCGUGUCGUGAGAUGUUGGGUUAAGUCCCGCAACGAGCGCAACCCUUGUUCACUGUUGCCAGCACGUUAUGGUGGGGACUCAGUGGAGACCGCCGGGGUCAACUCGGAGGAAGGUGGGGAUGACGUCAAGUCAUCAUGCCCCUUAUGUCCAGGGCUUCACGCAUGCUACAAUGGCUGGUACAGAGAGUGGCGAGCCUGUGAGGGUGAGCGAAUCUCGGAAAGCCGGUCUCAGUUCGGAUUGGGGUCUGCAACUCGACCUCAUGAAGUCGGAGUCGCUAGUAAUCGCAGAUCAGCAACGCUGCGGUGAAUACGUUCCCGGG